rnacentral:rRNA from 1 species
UACGAAGGGGGCUAGCGUUGCUCGGAAUCACUGGGCGUAAAGCGCACGUAGGCGGACUCUUAAGUCGGUGGUGAAAUCCUGGAGCUCAACUCCAGAACUGCCUUCGAUACUGGGAGUCUCGAGUCCGGGAGAGGUGAGUGGAACUGCGAGUGUAGAGGUGAAAUUCGUAGAUAUUCGCAAGAACACCAGUGGCGAAGGCGGCUCACUGGCCCGGUACUGACGCUGAGGUGCGAAGGCGUGGGGAGCAAACAGG